rnacentral:rRNA from 1 species
UACGAAGGGGGCUAGCGUUGUUCGGAAUUACUGGGCGUAAAGAGUACGUAGGCGGUGAUUCAAGUCAGAGGUGAAAGCCUGGAGCUCAACUCCAGAACUGCCUUUGAAACUAGAUCGCUAGAAUUGUGGAGAGGUUAGUGGAAUUCCGAGUGUAGAGGUGAAAUUCGUAGAUAUUCGGAAGAACACCAGUGGCGAAGGCGACUAACUGGACACAUAUUGACGCUGAGGUACGAAAGCGUGGGGAGCAAACAGG